AGAGUUUGAUCAUGGCUCAGAGCGAACGCUGGCGGCAGGCUUAACACAUGCAAGUCGAGCGGGCGUAGCAAUACGUCAGCGGCAGACGGGUGAGUAACGCGUGGGAACAUACCUUUUGGUUCGGAACAACACAGGGAAACUUGUGCUAAUACCGGAUAAGCCCUUACGGGGAAAGAUUUAUCGCCGAAAGAUUGGCCCGCGUCUGAUUAGCUAGUUGGUGAGGUAACGGCUCACCAAGGCGACGAUCAGUAGCUGGUCUGAGAGGAUGAUCAGCCACAUUGGGACUGAGACACGGCCCAAACUCCUACGGGAGGCAGCAGUGGGGAAUAUUGGACAAUGGGCGCAAGCCUGAUCCAGCCAUGCCGCGUGAGUGAUGAAGGCCCUAGGGUUGUAAAGCUCUUUUGUGCGGGAAGAUAAUGACGGUACCGCAAGAAUAAGCCCCGGCUAACUUCGUGCCAGCAGCCGCGGUAAUACGAAGGGGGCUAGCGUUGCUCGGAAUCACUGGGCGUAAAGCGCGUGUAGGCGGGUCUUUAAGUCAGGGGUGAAAUGCCAAGGCUCAACCUUGGAACUGCCUUUGAUACUGGAGAUCUUGAGUCCGGGAGAGGUGAGUGGAAUUGCGAGUGUAGAGGUGAAAUUCGUAGAUAUUCGCAAGAACACCAGUGGCGAAGGCGGCUCACUGGCCCGGAACUGACGCUGAGACGCGAAAGCGUGGGGAGCAAACAGGAUUAGAUACCCUAGUAGUCC
rnacentral:rRNA from 1 species